rnacentral:rRNA from 1 species
GACGAACGCUGGCGGCGUGGAUUAGGCAUGCAAGUCGAACGGUAGGAUACCUUCGGGUAUCUGAGAGUGGCGAACGGGUGAGUAACACGUAGGUGAUCUACCCUCAAGAUUGGGACAACCCAGGGAAACUUGGGCUAAUACCGGAUGAAAGCAGCAGUGAUGUUGUUUGAAAGGUGGCGUAAGCUGCCGUUUGGGGAUGAGCCUGCGCUCUAUUAGUUAGUUGGCGGGGUAAAGGCCCACCAAGGCGAUGAUAGAUAGGCGGCCUUAACGGGUGGUCGCCCACACUGGGAUUGAGAUACGGCCCAGACUCCUACGGGAGCAGCAGUCGAGAAUAGUCUACAAUGGCCGAAAGGCUGAUAGUGCGACGCCGCGUGAACGAAGAAGCCCUUCGGGUGUAAAGUUCUUUUAUAUGUGAGCAGUGCUUUCUAUGUGAACAGCAUGGGGAGAGAGAUAUUAGCAUAUGAAUAAGCAACGGCUAACUCCGUGCCAGC